UAUAAAAAAAAACAAAUGUUUCCCUUCUCCUUUUUCAUCACGCCGCGGCGCCCCCCUCCCUCGAAAUUUUCCGUCCCGCCGCCUUCAGCCCAUCGCUCAGCCGCUCGUUCAGACUGCCGCCGCCCAAAUCCAGUAGCCAAUCUCCAUCGCUACUCGCCGCCGAUCUCGACCAUCCGGUCAGCCGCCUCAAUCUCCUCCGCCGCUUGUCCAGACCGUCGUCGGUCGAGCUUGCCGCUCCGUCCAGCCUCGCGCCGCUCUGACCACACGCUCGUCGUCGUUGCCUCAUUCGCACCGUCGCGUCUACGACGCUUUUCUCCGGACGAAGCCGCCGCUCUUCCAGAUUCCACCACCACUUCUCCGUCCAGCCAGCCGUCGGUCCGAUCUCUGUUGCACGCCGCCCAGCACCUGCUGCCGCCGUGGUUGCCGUCGGAUCUGCUUUGGUCUUACGUCGAGUUUUUUUUGGAGGGAUUUGCACUGUUGUCCGUUCGGCUCGAGGCAAGAUUGGACUAGAAAUUUUUAUGAGGUUUGUGGUUCUCGUUGUUGGUUUUUGGGCACCCACUCAUUAUUGUAGUAAAUAUUGGCUCAACUCACGUAUUUUGAAGGGUCCAAGUCCCGUCCGUUGGAAUUAAAAUAUGAUUAAGGGGAGAUUUUGAAGUUGAAAUCUUGAAAAUGUUUGUUGAUCAAACUUCGUUUGGGUAAGUUAAUUGGUGAUCGAUGGAAUAAAUCUUGUAUGCUUUCGUUUUGGCUCCCAGGAUUAAAAAUUGAGUGUUUGUGUUUUGUGCUAAGGGAAUUAAUUCAGGAUUUAUUUUGAUAGAGACUA